rnacentral:rRNA from 1 species
CCUACGUGUGGCAGCAGUGAGGAAUAUUGGUCAAUGGGCGCGAGCCUGAACCAGCCAAGUAGCGUGAAGGAUGACUGCCCUACGGGUUGUAAACUUCUUUUAUAAAGGAAUAAAGUGAGGCACGUGUGCCUUUUUGUAUGUACUUCAUGAAUAAGGACCGGCUAAUUCCGUGCCAGCAGCCGCGGUAAUACGGAGGAUCCGAGCGUUAUCCGGAUUUAUUGGGUUUAAUGGGAGCGUAGAUGGGUUGUUAAGUCAGUUGUGAAAGUUUGCGGCUCAACCGUAAAAUUGCAAUUGAUACUGGCAGUCUUGAGUACAGUUGAGGUAGGCGGAAUUCGUGGUGUAGCGGUGAAAUGCUUAGAUAUCACGAAGAACUCCGAUUGCGAAGGCAGCUUACUAAACUGCCACUGACAUUGAUGCUCGAAAGUGUGGGUAUCAAACAGGAUUAGAUACCCCUGUAGUC